CCUCUUUCAGAGAGAAUUACAUCAUAAUGCAUCAUACAUCAUAAUGCAUCAUACAUAGUUGCCUGGAUAAAUUAUGGUACAACUUCAGACUUCUUUUCACCUACCUGUUGUCUUUGUCUGCCCUCUAUAUGAACUACUUAGACAGUCAGAUAGAUAGCAUUAAUUUUACAUAUUCUUCCUUGUGUACUCGCAGAUCAUAUUGUUCUUUGCUAUCAAUGGUUGAUUUUGUUUGUGAUAUCAGCUUAGUUAAUCAUAUUUGUGCUAUCAGUUUGGUUAUUCGUUAUUUGUGCUAUCAUCUUUGGCCAAUUCACCUAGGCAGUCUUACAUGUCCAUCUUAGAAAAAUUGCAAUUCAUAUAUAUGACUACGCUGUAGUUUUGAAACCUUAAUGUGGCUAAAAGCAUUUUGGUAGAAGAAUUGAUGUGCUAGCAAUGGAUCUUAUUUGAUUGGUUAUUUUUGUGGAGGGGUCCAAGCAAUUCAUUUUGUAGUCCCAUUUUUCUUUUUGGGAUACACUAACCUUCGAAUCAAAUGUGAUGGGUUUAUGUACUUGAUUUCUACAUGUGUAGCUAUGCUGGCAUUCAAGUUGGGUGCAUCUAUCUAAUUGUUGAUUCCAUUUUUACUAUAGAUUAUGUAUAUUCACUAUGAUUGUUGAUUCCGAAGUCUUCCAGGGAACAAGAUGCCCCACUUGUUAUCAUGUUGUGUGGAUUAAAACAAAUUUAUCACCCAUGGUGUUUAUAAAGCUUAGCCAAAAUUUAUCAAGGAGGAGCGCUCGAGGCAUGCGAUCAUUGGCAAGUAAAUCCAUCUAAGGAGGAGCACUCGAGGCAUGCAAUCAGUUCUGUAGAAGAAGGGGAGGUGCUGGUUGCAGGGUGCUGGAGCUGAGACGACCACAUGCAUGUCUGAUAAGAACAGGCUCAUCGAUGUCACCUCCCUCACCUUUGUCAUCUGCUGUUGUGAUGCGGAUCAAUCUAAACAUGUUUUUUUGGUUAGUUUGUCUAUUUUUUAGGGAUAAACUUCAUUAAUUGAAGCAGCAUAUGUUGGAGAAUGUAGAUUCAGCAUUUGUUUGAGUAGCUUUGGAGGUAUUCUAUACGACCUAUGAGUGAUAUACCCUCCUCUCUCCUCCACCCAUUUCACUCAAGUAGUCAAGUUAACCCAGUACACACAUGUGUAGUCUGCCUUUAGGUGGUUUUCCCUUCGCUACAUAUAAUGUAGUUUUAUGAAUUUUUGAGCUCUUAUUAUACCAGACUAAGUGGUUAUAUUGUAUAUAUCUAUUUGGUUAGGACAGUCACAACAAGGAAGUACGCCAAAGGUAAAAUAUUGGUGGCUUCAAAAUGCCUUACCAGGUCCACCCAUGAGAUCUCCCCAAAAGCUUCACAAGUCAUCUACCUUGGUUGAUUCCUUUGGUCCUGCACUAGACAUAUUUUUCUAGAUAAUACAACAAAAACUUCUAAUGUACUUGACUCCAUAUUUUUCAGUUUCUUUCUUUGGCUUAUUUCAAGUAGGGAAUCGUUUCCCAC
rnacentral:lncRNA from 1 species